GGGCACUUGGCACAGUUGGUAGUGCGCACACUUUGCAGAGUAUGAUCGAGUGCAUGAGGUCAGGAGUUCGACUCUCCUAGUAUCUG
rfam:Gymnopus luxurians FD-317 M1 unplaced genomic scaffold GYMLTscaffold_9, whole genome shotgun sequence.